GUCCAAAAGUCAAUGAAAGAUGGAAUAGAGAUCACCAAGCCCACUGCUGCACCCCAUUGCUGGCCACAUCCAUGCAAUGCUGCUCCUGCAUUGGCCCCAGUGCCCUGGUAGGCAGCUUGGAGGGAUGAAACAGACAGAGAUUCUCCUUGGAAGGAUGACGAAGCCAAGCUCUUGAAGAUUCUUAUUAAGGCUUGUUAGGAGAGGCAAGAGACUUUUUGAAAUAGCAGCUUCUAAGAAAAUAAAACAUCUGGCAGACAGAUGUGCUGCUUCAGAGCUGUUUAGUGCCCAGACCCACGACUUCCAAAGGAAAGACAGAAAGGGUGGCCCAGAGAGAAGAACCAG